UACGAAGGGGGCUAGCGUUGUUCGGAAUUACUGGGCGUAAAGCGCGCGCAGGCGGCCAUUCAAGUCAGGGGUGAAAGCCCAGAGCUCAACUCUGGAACUGCCCUUGAAACUGUAUGGCUUGAGUAUGAGAGAGGUGAGUGGAAUUCCCAGUGUAGAGGUGAAAUUCGUAGAUAUUAGGAAGAACACCGGUGGCGAAGGCGGCCCACUGGUCCGGUACUGACGCUGAGGUGCGAAAGCGUGGGGAGCAAACAGG
rnacentral:rRNA from 1 species